rnacentral:rRNA from 1 species
GCUAGCGGCGGAUGGGUGAGUAACACGUGGGCAAUCUGCCCUAAAGACUGGGAUACCACUUGGAAACAGGUGCUAAUACCGGAUAACAACAUGAAUCGCAUGAUUCAAGUUUGAAAGGCGGCGUAAGCUGUCACUUUAGGAUGAGCCCGCGGCGCAUUAGCUAGUUGGUGGGGUAAAGGCCUACCAAGGCAAUGAUGCGUAGCCGAGUUGAGAGACUGAUCGGCCACAUUGGGACUGAGACACGGCCCAAACUCCUACGGGAGGCAGCAGUAGGGAAUCUUCCACAAUGGACGCAAGUCUGAUGGAGCAACGCCGCGUGAGUGAAGAAGGUUUUCGGAUCGUAAAGCUCUGUUGUUGGUGAAGAAGGAUAGAGGCAGUAACUGGUCUUUAUUUGACGGUAAUCAACCAGAAAGUCACGGCUAACUACGUGCCAGCAGCCGCGGUAAUACGUAGGUGGCAAGCGUUGUCCGGAUUUAUUGGGCGUAAAGCGAGCGCAGGCGGAAUGAUAAGUCUGAUGUGAAAGCCCACGGCUCAACCGUGGAACUGCAUCGGAAACUGUCAUUCUUGAGUGCAGAAGAGGAGAGUGGAAUUCCAUGUGUAGCGGUGGAAUGCGUAGAUAUAUGGAAGAACACCAGUGGCGAAGGCGGCUCUCUGGUCUGCAACUGACGCUGAGGCUCGAAA